AUUUGUAGACAACCUGCUAGAAGCUAUUGGUCAGUGUUUCUGACUGGUAACCCUCUGGGCUAUAUGGGUCUCUACGGUGGGACCUGACCUCUUCAGCUUCCUUUAAAAAAAUUAAAAAAAAAAUAAAACAAAACAAAAAAACUUGAAUAUUCUCUCUCUGUAUGUGUAGUCAUGAACAUGGCACAUCACGUGGAGAUCAGAGGGGAGCUUGGAUUAGUCUCACCCUCCAUUGUCUGGGUGUUAGGGAUCAAUCUCAGGUCAUCAGGCUUGACAGCAAACACCUUUACCCACUGAACCAUCUUUGGCCCUCCUCAACUACUUCAAAUGAAUGUUCCUGGUUAGGACAGAUGACCAAUGUAUUAAAGAUCAUUAACAUGUAAGUAUCCUGUUUAGUAGAUGUUUAGAUUGUCAUAUUCGGGAAACUAUUAAAUGUGUGUAGGCCAAUAUAGGAAUUAGAGAAUCAAGAUUUCUGUCCUUUCUCCUUUCCCAAAAUAUACUUGGGUAUGUGUGACCCUUAAACAAGUCAACUUAUUGAGUUUCCCUUUGAACAUUAGGCUUUUGGAAUCUUUCAACUUUUCAGAGCCUAUGUAUUUCUUAAUCUCUCAAAAGCAUUUAGAUAAAAACUGCUCUGCUAAAAUAUUAAAAGUCUUAAGUGGCAUCCUACUUACACCAGUUUACUAAACCUACUGGCAUUCCCCAGUCCCCAGUUUCCUCUUGGUAGCAUUAACAUAGCCUUACCGACCUACUCUCAUCAUUGUCGACUCCCACCUGCUUGCUUUGCAUACGGCCUUCUCCCUGCUCCUGUAUUCAACUAGUAUGUCAGGAACCAGAUUUGUUUUUAACCUUGAAAUCUCUGUUGAGAUCUUAAUAUAUAAUCGUAUAUGUUCCUGGUACACCAAACAGCACUCCACCCCUCUCAUAGCCACCAACAUCACUUAACUAAUAGAAUGCUUACGAAAUUGGCCUUGACAGUAUUCUUGGUAUCUACCUCAAUCUAUUCCAUCAGUCCUUUACCAUGCACCUAGGGAACAUUUCCUACCUAUCUUGGAUGCUUAGGGGCUGCUCCAUAUUCUCAAAUGAGGACAUGCCCUGAGCUAUAUUAAGAGACCAACCCAUCCAAAGUUUUUGCAAACAUUCUUCCCUUGUUCAUAGAUUUUCUGCAGUUGUCUUUCAACUUGGUAGUGAGUUUAUUUGCCUGGGUCAAAAAACAAACAAAAAAUUAGUUGAUAGGAAACCUGCCUGGUGUUGUGUGGGCUAAGAAAGCUAGCUGUGGAGCCAGACAGCCAGGUUUCCUAUCUUGUCUCCUGCCGUCCAGGUGUGUCACCUAGGGUGUCUUAAUUAUUCUAAGGCAAUUUUAAUGAUGCAUAUAAUGACACAAAUGGUGAUUUCUUGGGAUUUAUAAGCCAGCGGGAGUAAUAACGGUUUACCAUUUUCCAGCAUGGGGAUUGUUUGGAAUCCCUGUGUUGUUGUGGAAUAUUAGUUUAAGAUGUGUUACAUUGAUUAGGCUGUGGAAUAUUUGUUUAAUGAUGUAAAGAUGUGUUGCCUUCUUUUAUGUUGCAUUUGUUUAACACUAUAAAGCUGUGCUAGUUUGCCUGCCUAAAACACCUGAGUGGUCUAAUAAAGAGCUGAAUGGCCAAUAGCAAGGCAAAAGAAAGGAUAGGUGGGGCUGGGAGGCAGGGAGAGUAAAUAGGAGGAGAAAUCCAGGGAAGAAGGAGAGAGAAAAGGAAAAGAGGAAGACAUCAGGGCUCACAUAGCAAGCCAUGGAAUAAGAAGAAAAGAAAGAUACAUAGAAUAAAUUAAGGUGGAAAGCCAGAGGCAAAUUAAAGAGAAACGGAAUAAUUUAAGUUAGUAAAGCUGACUAGAAACAAGCCAAGCUAAGACUGGGCAUUCAUAAAUAAGAACAAGUCCCCACAUAUUUAUCUGGGAGCUUGGCGGUGGGCCCCCAAAGAGUAAAAAACAAAAAAAAAAUCAGCUACAUUCUCUAGCAGCUCAUUACUCACACUAACCCCUGCUGCUGUUAUUUCUAUCUUAAAGGUGAGGAGGCUUGAAGUUUUAGAUUAUGUAGAGACACUGUGUUCCAGAUUCAAAUGCUAAUUAGCUUUACUUAUUCUAUAACUAAAUGUUUGGGCAUUCAGCAGGUACUCUUUAAUAAAGUGACUGCUUUUGUACUAUUGGUUGUUUUAGAGCACAGUUUGUUCUUGAUGCUUUGGAAGGUGGUGGUACUAGAUGUGGUGAUUUUGGAAUACUGAAGAGAAAUGAAGAUCACAACCUGCACCCUAGGGGAUGAUAAAUGUUCAUGGCACUGAUGAUAGAGGGUCUGGCUAUUUCUAGAACGUUUUAAGACUCAGCCCUCCUCCCCAAGAGCUGUUUCUCAAGGCAAAUGACAAACUAAAGUGUGCAGGAUGUUAGAGAAUUUCUUUCUUCCUUUGUGAGAAAAAUUGAUGUUCUCUACAUACUAAUUAAAUUUCCAUGCAUGAUUACCUUCAAGGCUUGAAGAGUAGGGAUUAAUGUUGAGUGAUGACAUUACCUCCACUCACUACCCAUCACAUCUCAAAAUGAUGCUCUGUCUAACCUUAGGAUAUAUGAAGCACACAAGCUGGUGUUCUGUUUUGGAGUGUAGGACUCUGGGGUUCUGUGAAUAUGUCAAUGUCCUUCUCUUUACAGAAACAAACUAGAAAUGAUUAUAUUUUGCUGUAGCCCUGGGUAGAAGAUUAACUAUAUGACAUUUGUCCAUAUGUUUAAAAUUUUUAAAUGGAUGCUGUUAGAUGGAUAAAACUGGUGAUGUUUUAAUUUGGGGCCAAGGGAUCUCGUUUGCCUUCUGGAGAGGGAGCAAUACUACACACCUUUAGAAAUGACUACAGAAAAAGCUACAGUUUUCAAGCAAUAAGCCGCAGAUGAGACCUCCUUUGUUUUAACUGCCUGAUGCAUGGAGUUGUUACACUGAAGUAAAUGGUGCUUCCCAUACUCCUGGGUUUCCUGCCUACAGCCUGGAUGUACUUACUUCAUUGAGAGCCAACAAUAGAGGGUGAAAAUGGGAAGGUGGCUUAUUUCAUCACUGGGGUAUCCCUUAGGUAUUUAGAAGAUCCUGCCUGGUGAGAGGUCUCAGCUUUGACAUUUUGGAAAAGACUUAAAAUGAAAGGUCAGGAUUCAGCCUUGGCUAGGUUCAAGGGCAGAGUUUAUUCUUAACUUGGUCUGAGGCCAAGAUCAGAAAAUAAAAAUAUGGAUUUGCAUAUCUGAUGUUGGAUUAAUUUUUUUCUGAUGCAUUUCGUAGCUUGAUAAAUGGAAGACUGUUUCCUCUUGGUCCCAAAAGUCUAUAUGCCUAGGACAAGCCAUAGUAUAUAGUAGUACUGGAAUUUGAUUUGCCAGCAAAGCUCACACUGAAACUUAAUGCUCAUUGUGAUUUCUAAAGCUCUAGGCCCAGAUGAGGCCUUUAAGAGCAGAACUAUGAGUCAAGGGGUUGGUGGAGCACACCUUUAAUCCCAACACUCAGGAGGCAGAGGCAGAUGGAUCUCUGUGAGUUCAAGGCCAGCCUGUUCUUCAGGGCCAGUUCCAGGACAGCCAAACCUACACAGAGAAGCCCUGUGUCUGUCUUUUAGUUACAUCCCUCUUACUGUGUGCUGCCUUAGACCAUAGAUUCUCUACUAGCAAGUGGAACCUCUCCGGAUGGGGCCACUUGACUUUGGGUUUCCCAGUCUUCAGAACUGUAAGAAAUAGGUUUUGUUGUUUAAAAAUAAGUCUGUGGUGUUCAGUCAUAAGAAUGGGAAAAUGCUCAAGUAGAUUCACAAAUAUCUGUUGAAUGACUGAUGGCUGGUGGCCGUCUAGAGGUAGAAUGCACUUUAGAGGUAGAUAGCAAGCUUUAAGGAGUUUAAAGGAUGUCACCCACAGACUCCCCCCCAUCAUGUGAGGCUCCCAGUGUUACUGCCCUCCGCAUUCAGUCUUAUGCUACAAAGCGCAAAGUGUUUUGAGAGGGAAGGAGCCGACCCAUAGCGUGAGAAAAACCUAGGAGUUAGGACAAGCUCCCUAGUAUAUCCUGUCAUUUGGAGGGGUGAGCGGAGAAAGGACAAAGUAUACUAGUUAUUCUGUUCCCUUCAUGUGCAUGCUUCAGCAUCACUUCUGGGGCUGCUGAGCUACAAAUAUUGUCAUAUGGUUUUAUUGUGACUUGAACUCCAGACAGAUUACUUAGGUAGUGAUAUGCUGAGGACAGAUGGAGGUCAUUAUGCAAGAGUCACAGUGAUAGGUGUACAUUGGGCGGUUCUACACCAAUCAGUGUGGAUAGCGGCACUGUCCUGGCUAUUUUUUUUUUUUAAAGCUGGUGUCAUCUGAGAGAAGGGAACCUCAAUCGAGAAAAUGCUCCUAGAAGAUUAGCUGUAGGAAACCUGUAGGGUAUUUUCUUAAUUAGUGAUUGGUGUAGGAGGGUUCAGCCCAUUGUGGACAGUGCCACCCCUGGGCUGGUGGCCCUCGGUUUUAUAAGAAUAUAGGAACAAGCCAGUUAGCAACACCUCUCCAUAGCCUCUGCAUCAGCUCCUGCCCCUAGAUUCCUACCCGGUUUUAGUUCCUGCUUUCAGGAUAUUAAGCCAGAUAAACUCCUCUCCAAGUUGCUUUUGGACCUGAUGUUUCCUCACAGCAGUGAAACCCUAACUAAGCAAACCCCUUGUUUGCAUUGGCCCUGUCCCGGUCUUCAGGGAUGCCUGGUCACACUUCCAACUGCAGGUUGGCUUUUCCGGGGUGUUUUGAAGGAGUUUGAUUUGCUUAGACCUCAGAAAUAUCUAAAUGCUUACAUAAAACACUGGGUACUCUGUUAUGUUUUUCAUGUUAUAUUUUCCCAGGAAUAAGAAAAGAUAUUUAAAAAAAAAAAAAGCUGUUUUCUUUUUGUAGACUCUGCCACUUACCAAAUGUCCCACAGGAUCAUUCAAUUUACCAUAACUAUUGAGCAGAGGCUGUGGAGAGACUGAAAUCCAAGAAACUCUUCUGACCUUUUCGCCUUAUUUUGUGCCUGAUGCAUUUUUGAUACACUAUAGAUUUCAUCUUGCUAAAGAAGCAACUGGAGAUAAAACUUAAGUAUGUGAAGAACUUAAGUCCUUGACUGACACCCACUUCUACUUCCCAGUAUUAGUGGGAACCCUGGUAUCUGUUAUUGACAUUGGUCAGUUCAUGACUGUGAAGGAUCUUCCAUCGGGAAAUGUUUGCACUCCUGGGCAGUGAGCCAAUGGGCAAGCCUGAAGGAACCCUGCUGCGAAUGUUUGCGAGUCUUGAUUUUCAGUUCCUUCCUAGUUUUGGAGUAUCAUAAAUAUCUGGGUGCAGAAUUUCCAGAAGACUGAUCUUGGGGAUAGUAAACAGUGUGACUCACUUCAUAAAGAAAAGGCUUGCCAGGUGGUAGUGGUGCAUGCCUUUAAUCCCAGCACUUGGGAGGCAGAGGCAGGCGGAUCUCUGUGUGUUCGAGGCCAGCCUGGUCUACAAGAGCUAGUUCUGGGACAGCUAGGGCUGUUACACAGAAAAACCCUAUCUCAAAAAAAAAAGCAAAAAUAAAAAUUAUCACAUGGGUCCUUCAUGUAGAGCAUGGUGCAAUAUCCCUUAAUCACCCUGAAUGAGAGCUGUUUGUAAAAAUGAGGCAGAAAAUGAAAGGCUACAGCUGUGGUUCUCAACCUCUGGGACACGACCUUUUCAUAGGGGUCACCUAAGGCCAUCAGAAAAGCACAGCUAUAUACAAUUCAUAACAUUGGCAAAAUUACAGUUAUGAAGUAGCAACGAAAACAGUUUUAUGGCUGGGGUCACCACAACAUGAGGAAUUGUACUAAAGGGUUGCAGCAUUAGAAAGGUUAAAAAACACAGCUACAGGGUUCUCCAGUAGGUUCUGAUGGGAAGCAGCAUUCUGAAAUGCAAUCUAUGUUCUCUGUGUUCCAAGUAUCAUCUUAGACACAAGUGUCCCUAUUUGUUCUGCUGCUGGCACCAGUUAUUUGUAAUUGCUUAAUAGCGUACAGGAAGGCAUUGCUUGAACUUGGCAAGUUUUUGUAGAAGAGCAGGGACUUUCCAUUUGUUUUUGUUUUUUCAAGACGGGGUUUUUCUGUAACUGUCCUGUAACACGCUCUAUAGACCAUGCUAGCCUCCAGUUCAAGAGAUUCACCUGCCUCUGCUUCUUGAGUGCUGGGAUUAAAUGCGUGUGUUUUAAGACAGGCUCUCACCCUGUAACCCAGGCUUGCUCAAAUUUAAGCAAACCUUCUGCCUCAGUUUCCAGAGUGCUAGGUUGUUGCGCACAACCCUGGCUAGCUCUCAAAUGUGCUUUUUCAGUAGUUUAAUAUGAAACUCUCCAAAUUAAGAGGCAGGCAUUAAUAAAAUGAGCCCAUUAAGAUUUCUAAUAUUUACUGAAAACCAAAUCAAAAAGUAGCCUCUCAAACAUGGUCCAGCUCUUUUGAUUUCUGUAACACCAGCUUAAUCCAGAACGUACAUGCCAAUGGAAGAUCACUGUAAGCUUCUGAAUAUAUUUUGUCUUUUUUAAAAAUACAACAAGACUAUAGUAUUCUGGGAAGUUUCUGCUCCAGUCUGGUAUCUAGCAGUUUGCAUUGGCUAAACACUGAUAGCAAAUUGCUUGGAACAUUUCUUAAGAAGUUCGGUGGCUGAGGAUGUUAUGUGCAUAUGCACACAAUCAUGUGUGUGUGUAGUGUGUGUAUAUAUAUAUAUCGUGUAUAUACUUACUUAUGUGAAUAUAUGUACAUACUCACACACAUACACACACACACACACAUGAGUGUGUACAUACUGUGAGACUGUGUUGACCUGCUCUAUGUCUCAUUUCAUGGUUGAUACGUUUCUGAGGUUGUGGAAGUUUACCUUGUCAAAGAAGCAGUAGAGGUGAGACUUGAGAAUGAUACAAUGGACACAUGUUCCUAGCUCUGACAUCCAAAGCCUUUAACUUAUGGUGGAGGUGGGUGUUGUAUCUUAUCUGUUGCUUUCAUUGGUUAAGUAAUAAAGAAGACUGCUUGGCCCUCUGAUAGGGUAGAAUUUAGAUAGGCGGAGUAAACAGAACAGAAUGCUGGGAGAAAGAAGCCGUGUCAGAGAAUCGCCAUGAUUCUCCCACUCCAGACAGAUGCAGGUUAAGAUCUUCCCUGUAGGCAAUCAGGAGGAAAAGCAGCAAAGUCACAGGCAGGAAGAUCCCCAGGACUAGGAACGGGCCUGGGAGUUCCUGCAAGACGAUGGAUAGCACAGAGCUCAUGGCCUGCCACAGCUGGGGCUGACGAAGAGAUCCUCUCUCAAGACAGAGAGAUGUUGCUGUUGGGAUUCUUGCGUGCUUUCGGUCGAGAUGGCUCUUUGGUGCUCUUUCAGCUGGACCAGGAUGCUGAUUUGUAAAGUGUCAGUCUUCAAAGAAGCUCCCUGAGCUGGAGACAUACCCGGGCAAUGUCAGGCAGCUGCUAAAAGGCGGCUCUGUUUCAGUCCAUUCGGCAAGGCUUGCCUGGAUGCCUAGACUUAAUUGAGUGUGGGCAGAGAUGGCGAAUGUGAAUGACAACACCAUUAGCCCCAUCCACAUAGAAGCAAAGCUCUGGGGUGGGACUGACUAUUUCCAGUGAGGGGACUGGGCUGAGGUCGUGAGAAAGAUAGAUAGCAUUGUUUAGAGUCUGAAUAGCUAAAGCAGUCCGCUUCACACAAACACAAGUCAGAAGGCUGACAGGGUUGUGGAGGAAGGGAAAGAAUUGACAAUGGCAGAAAGACGGAGCAUGUUGGGAGUUGAAGUAAAACAACAGCACCAAAAAAAAAAAAAAAAAAGAAAAACAAAACAAAAAACAAACAAGAAAGGUAUCAGAGCUUCCAGACUCUUGAAGGCCUUGCUUAGGGCAAUGCUGUUUAGACAAGGGAGACCCACCAAAGGUCUUCGAUUCUAGAUGUGUACAGACUCCUCUUUUAGGAAUAAAUGGCAACUCUUUAAAAAGUAGAUGAAAUGACAGUGGCUUAGUUUAUCUCAGUGUGAAAUCAAAAUGUAAUGGAUAUGAGCUAGAAGAUAGCAGAAGGGAAAGGAGGCGGGGACAGAGAUAAAAGAGCAGCCCUCAGUGACUAAUUGAGUAGGCAGAAGUAAAUUUCACCAGUGCCGCUAAUAACAAUGGUACCUACUGUAGGUCUGGCUGAACAUUUUGUUUAUGAUCUCUUUUAAUUUUCAUGGUAAACUUAUAAAGAAGGAUUUCAUUUUAUGGCUGAAGAAAUGAGGCCAAGAGCCUUGGCACAUUCCAUACUUGCGUAUAGUAAAUUCCAAAGCCACGAUUUCCAUCCAGAGACCAUGCUCUCAUCCAUAAUGUCCUGUGUGGCUCCCAGGAUGGUGAUGGCCAGGACAUAAAGCUAGACCUGGCCUUAGACAAACUGGCAGGUUUGGGUGGGUGGGAAGGUACAGAGUCAUGUAGAUGUCAAUCUCUAGCCCGUGAGGACCUGAUAGAAAGAAGGGGUUCAAGACAGGCAUGAGAGUAGCUCAUUCUUUUCUGUUGUUGUUUUGGUUUUGGUCAUUGUUUGUUUCUUGUUUUGUUUUGUUUUGUUUUUGUUGUUGCUGUUUUGUUUUUGUUUUUCAAGACAGAGUUUCUCUGUGUAACAGCUCUGGCUGUCCCCGGAACUUGCUUUGUAGACCAAGCUGGCCUCAAACUAGCGGAGACCUGCCUCUUUGUCCCAAGUGCUGGGAUUAAAGGCAUGUGCCCGCAUUACAGGCUUCUUUUCCGUGGAGGAAUAACCAUUAGUAUAACUGGGCCAAUCCACAUUGGUGCAGCUAGAGGAGCAGAUCUCGUGGGGGGUUAAACUGUCCUGUUGGUUUCCUCGGUGACCAGUGCUGCCACUGUUGACUUCCAUGACAUAUGGCAUACACAGUUUACAGAAGCUGAUACUUGGGAUAGCAUUCCUAGUUCCUGCUGUGCUGUCUCCUACCAUGGCUCUUAGUAACGAUUGCUGCUCAAGAGUCUGUGGCUAACCGACCUACAGAAGCCACGCGCCAAGGCCACCAGACAUCUGCCUUGGAUUCUCCCUGAGCCAGAAACUUUCUCUAGCUCAUCAGCAGAAGGUGCCAAAGCACUGUGGACCGUUUGCUAGAACAUCCGAUUGCGUACAGCCACACAGCCAAUUAAAAAAAAAUCAGGAACAGAAAUCAAGGUCACCAAUUUCCGAUGAAAUUGGUUUAGUUUCAUUACGUGGGUGGUAAGAUUGUUGAAAUGGGAAUUCUCUCACAAUGUCAAUGUUAAGUCGUUAAGUCUGCUUGUACCUGUAUUUCUCUGGCUCUUGCUAACUGGCCCUCUGAACUUCGCAUAUUAACCUAUGCCAAUUAAAGUCGUGUCAUCACUUGGCAGCACUUCCUCAGUACACACACAAUUAAGGACUCUGAGAUCAGGAGAAAUUUAGGUUUCAAGUAAUAGAGCGGUCGCUGCUUUGUGGACUUAAACAGAAGCCCCACAGGCCUUUGCCAUUCACAUUUGAAGGUAAUAAAUAUUUAUUCUGGCUUUGGCGCGUGCUUCAGAAGCCCUGGUUUCGGCACUGUCAACAUUUAAGGACAAGGCAAAGUUCCUGUCCACACUGCACAUUUGCGCGGACUAACAGCCGAUAAACAACAGAAGACUGCUGAAUAGUCACAUGGUCCCAAGGACUAAUCUAGGCUUUGCACAUACAUGGUAACUUCUUUCAUUCUAAUUCUAGUGCUUUCGAAGUGGAAACUAUAUUGUUUUGUGUGUACAGUGUACAUGGUGGAAGGGUGUGUGUGCCCCUGACCAUGCCUAUCAGUGUGUAUGGAGGCCAGAGGUCAGCCAUGGGUAUUGUUUCUUAUGCACCAUCCAGAGAUCAACCAUGGGUAUUGUUUUUUAUGCAUCAUUCACUUUGGGUUUGUUUGUUUAUUUGAGACGGGGUCUCCUGCUUCCUUGGGGUGUAUUGGUUAAUACCCCAGAGGCUGGUUGACCACCAAACCCCAGAGAUUCACUGGUCUCUGCCUCCUUAGCUCUGGCAUUAUAAGCAUCUACUAUCACAUCUGGAUUAGAAAAAAAAAAAGGGGGGUUCUAGCGAUUGAACUCUGGUUUUCAUGCUCACACAGCAUGCAGUUUGCCAACUGAGCCAUCUCCCCGGUCCCUGAAAUACUUAUUAUCCAUUUCCAUCACAACAGUUUUAGAGACGGAGAAACUCGUGUUUUCAUAAUGAGAUGGCACCAUGGGAAAUAGCAGAAUCUGGAUUUGAUCCUGUCACCCAAAAGGAACUCUGCAUACUCUACUGCCUCUUAACCUCCUGAAGGAAUACAUAUAUAAUGCUGAGUAGUGUAUUUUUUUUUUCUGUACGAGGAGAUGGAAGAAUAAUGAGAAGAACUUGAUUUAGAUGGCGCUGUCAGAGACGGUAUGUUCACAUCCUAAGAAAUAAAUCAUUUAUGAUUAGUUUUCAGAAUACAGUAUGCUUAGAACUCAUUAAGACUCACAGAUAAGCAAGAGGUUCUAGGCCUCUCUCUACCUUAGCUGGCAGGCAGCGCCCACUUGUCUCAGGACUCUCCGGGGCAGGCAGCUGCUACAUGACUGAUCCCUCCAAUCAGAAGGAAGUGUCACAGCCUGGGGAUAUUCAUCAGAUAAGGCACCUUGAGGUGGUUACUGUGCUUGUCAGGUGUGGAGACUGUGAAGUUUGUGUCUGUCAGAAGCAGGAGUUUCUUCCCAUUUAGAAGCCAGCAUCCCGCAGAAAUCAAUAUUCCAGCCAUUUUUGCCCUUCUUCUACACUAGCAACUGGCUCUGCAGAACUGAAUAUUAAAGACAUUCUCUUUCACUAGUCCCUUGAGUUUAUUACUACACAACAAGAAUCUUAGUCGCAUGGUAUUGAUCUGCACAGCCUCUCUGACAAGAUGCCAACACUGGGCAGCGGGAGUAACAGGGAUGCCAUUUUCACAGAUCUGGAGGCUGCCGUCCAAGGUUAAGAGCAGCAUCGCUUCCUGGCCAGGCUUCUCUCUGUGGCUCACAGACCACCACCUCUGUCUGUACAGGUUUGUCUCCUUUGUCCGUGUGUGUUGGUACUUUGUUUUUAAAGGACACCUGUCAU